CCUACGGGAGGCAGCAGUGGGGGAUAUUGCACAAUGGGGGGAACCCUGAUGCAGCGACGCCGCGUGGGUGAAGGAGUGCUUCGGCAUGUAAAGCCCUAUCGGCAGGGAAGAAGCAAGACGGUACCUGACUAAGAAGCCCCGGCUAACUACGUGCCAGCAGCCGCGGUAAUACGUAGGGGGCGAGCGUUAUCCGGAUUCACUGGGUGUAAAGGGAGCGUAGACGGCCAAGCAAGCCAGGGGUGAAAGCCCGGGGCCCAACCCCGGGACUGCCCUUGGAACUGCAUGGCUGGAGUGCGGGAGGGGCAGGCGGAAUUCCUGGUGUAGCGGUGAAAUGCGUAGAGAUCAGGAGGAACACCGGCGGCGAAGGCGGCCUGCUGGAUCGCGACUGACGUUGAGGCUCGAAAGCGUGGGGAGCAAACAGGAUUAGAUACCCCAGUAGUC
rnacentral:rRNA from 1 species